UGGGGGGAAAUUAGUUUUCUAAUUAGGUUUAGAACCAUGUGCCAUAAAUAGCAUUGCAUUUGUGCGAUAGUUUCAGUCUAAAUCCGUUUCACCGUCACCAUGAAGGUUGUAAUAUUGACUUUGGCCGUUAUCACCCUUAUGGGUAGUCACAUUCUUGGCGUUGAUGGGUUAGAGGAUGUUGCAAUGGUCAGAAGCCGUCGGCAGAGCUUUGGCGGUAACAUGAACUACGAUUUGAAUUUCGAGAAGUUUGCCAAUUUGAUGAAGGGUAUGAUGAAAGGUGGCAGAGGAGGAGGAACAGGUGCAAAGGCAGCUCCAGCAGUUGGAGCUGCUGUACCAGCUGUAA